GACGAACGCUGGCGGCGUGCCUAACACAUGCAAGUUGAGCGACGAACCAGGGCUUGCCCUGGGGCAAAGCAGCGAACGGGUGAGUAACACGUGGGUAACCUACCCCGAUAACCGGGACAGCCCGAGGAAACUCGGGCUAAUACCGGAUGUGCUCACUGGACUUCGGUUCAGUGCGUAAAGGAAGCUUCGGCCUCCGUAUCGGGAGGGGCCCGCGGCCCAUUAGUUUGUUGGUGAGGUAACGGCUCACCAAGACCGCGAUGGGUAGCUGGUCUGAGAGGACGAUCAGCCACACUGGGACUGAGACACGGCCCAGACUCCUACGGGAGGCAGCAGUGGGGAAUCUUGCGCAAUGCGCGAAAGCGUGACGCAGCAACGCCGCGUGGGGGAAGAAGGCCUUCGGGUUGUAAACCCCUUUCAGGAGGGACGAAGGUUCGGCGGUGAAUAGCCGUCCGGACUGACGGUACCUCCACAAGAAGCCCCGGCUAACUACGUG
rnacentral:rRNA from 1 species